UUAUUUUAUUUUAUUUUUUUGCUUCUUGCGCUGUCAACUAUCACUUUUUAGAUAACGAGAUUUUGGAUGUUUUAGUUUGGUAUGAAAUGCAACUUCAGUUUUGACUUGUCAUUAUAGUACAUUUGCUUCUUUUUUUUUUUUCUGAGCUGGCCCCUUUUCUCUCUGUGGUCUUGUGGUUGCAGAGUUGGUCCUUUAUCGUGGUUAAGCGGGGCAUUAUUAUUUGUUUUAUUUGUAAAACCCAUUGCGGCCUGGUCUAGCAUUGUGUUUUAGAAUUUAAGGGUGGUAAUAGUUUGCGUAUCCGACUUAGUCUGCCUUGCGUCUGAUCAAUUUUUUUCGAUCUUUCCUACUUUGAUAUUUUGUAGGGUGGGACUCGGAGUUCUCUUCCUUGAAUUUCUGUAAUUUGUUUUAAUAAAAA
rnacentral:misc_RNA from 1 species